rnacentral:pre_miRNA from 8 species
AGUCUGUCCGGCUCCGUCCUCCCAGUGUUCAGACUACCUGUUCAUUGUCAUACUGGUGUACAGUAGUCUGCACAUUGGUUAGACUGGGCAGGGAAGCACU